rnacentral:piRNA from 1 species
UGACAGCUAUGGUAAGGAUGGAGC